UGGGGAAUCUUGCGCAUGGGCGAAAGCCUGACGCAGCGACGCCGCGUGCGGGAAGAAGGCCUUCGGGUUGUAAACCGCUUUCAGGAGGGACGAAGCCACUCGGGUUAAUAGCCCAGAGGGUGACGGUACCUCCAGAAGAAGCCCCGGCUAACUACGUGC
rnacentral:rRNA from 1 species